GGCCACGAGCUUGUUGGAAUGAAAACUCAACCCUAGAAAUUGACAAGGAAAUGCGAAGUUACAGCCAUUCUUGUUCUUUACGGUCUACCAAGGUUAAAAGACUUCUUGAGGAUGAGUUGACAAACAAUUGCAAAUUUGCUGGGUCUUCCUAAGUAGACGUUCUGAACUUUUCCAAUGCAUAGUUGUUAGGAAGUCCCAUUGAGCUGUGACAGAGAGACUUUCCCAACAUAGAGCUUCAGAAAAAUGGUCUGAUGCUAACAAAACUUCUUGUAUAGUUCAAUGGAUGCUUAUACUUCAUUUCGGAGUGAUGGCAUUAUGGGUCCUGUUAUGGAGAAGUACGUCUUGGAA